GGCCGCUUGGCGUAGUGGUAUCGCGCUUGCUUUGGGUGCAAGAGGUCACGAGUUCGAUCCUCGUAGCGGCCC